rnacentral:tRNA from 1 species
GAUCCACUAGCUCAGAUGGCAGAGCACUUGACUUUUAAUCAAGGUGUCCGGGGUUCGAUUCCCCGGUGGGUCACCA